ensembl:lncRNA
GUCACAGAGCGCGAUGUUUGAACUGAGUGUUCGACGGUUAAUCUUGCGCUGCUUCACUUUCUUCAUUUGUUUCCACAUCUGCAGCUGCUGGAUCCUCCAGAAAUGUUGCUGCAGAGUCAGAGAUGUGCUGCUGAAAAGUCACGUACAUCACUGGUAAGGUUUACGAUGAGCAAUUACUUGCAUCGGAAAGCAGAUAAGUGUCGUAGGGGAAAAGUACAGUAUUUCACUGCAGCAGUGGUUUUCAGUUUUGAGAGAACUAAGUGUUGUGCAGUACAAGUAAGAGUUGCAGAGUAUAUGUAAGAGUAAUAAAGUACAGGUAAGUGUUGUAUAGUAAAGGUAAGUGUUGUGUAGUACAGGUAAGAGAUGUAGAAUAUAUGUAAGAGUAAUAUAGUACAGGUUAGUGUUGUAUAGUAAAGGUAAGUGUUGUGUAGUACAGGUAAGAGAUGUAGAGUAUAAGAGUAAUAUAGUACAGGUUAGUGUUGUAUAGUAUAUGUAAGUGUUGUAUAGUAUAGGCACAUGUUGUAGAGUAUAUGUAGUUGUGCAGGCAGGUGGCCUCAAUAGCCAUUUAAAUUAGCUAAACCAAGCUAAAGGACAAAUUUGGCGAGCACUGAACCAUAGCUUUCUCAAUAUAAGGCCAUUAGUCAUAUAAGAGGCUUAAGGUUCGGCCCUGAGGUACCAGACUUGGCCAUGGCUUCUGAGAUACCUGUGGUGGCUGUCACUUCCAGGAGUCCCUGUAACAGCCUAUGCUCGCUGAGGUCCAUGUCAAGGCCAUUGCCUCCCUGAGGUCCCUGUCUUAGCCAACACUCCCUAAGGUCCCUGUGAUGGCCAAUGCCGCUUGAGGUCUCCCCUGUCAUGACCACAGCUUCCUGAGGUCCCUGUCACAGGCUGAGCGCCUAAGGUCCCUUUCAUUACCGCCAUCCAAAUAUGCCAACUUACUUGGCUGCUGACAAUAUAGUGCUGGCAAAGUGUUCCUGAGUCCAGUUAUCUGUCCUUGAGCCUCUGCUAGAAAACAUAGUACAAGAGCCACAACCCAGGUCCUCCUCAGCGCCACAGCCCAGACAUCCCUCAGUACUGCGGCUGCAGUACAGGCACCCGUCAGCGCUGCUGCGUCAGUCCAGGCACCCCUCAGCGCCGCGGCCACAGGUACCCCUCAGUGCACAGGUAAAGCCCAAGCAGCCCUAAGUUCAGCUGGCACAUCCCAGGCCCCUUCAGUGCCAUGCAUGACCACGGGACCAUCUCAGUGUCAUAUUCAGGCCAGUUGCUAAGGGGGGUUGUAGAGUACAGGUACGGGUUUUGGAGUGCAGGUAAGAGUUGUAGACUAAAGGUAAGCGUUUUAGACUAAAGGUACAAGUUCUAGAGUACAGGUAAGUUGUAGACUAAAGGUAAGAGUUGUAGACUUAAGGUUAGGGUGGCCAUAUGCACCGUUCAUAAAGGACAAGUCCCAGCAAGGAUUUUAAUAUUGCCUAAAAUAUCCAGGUUUUGGCUGUUUGCACUAUGCAGGUCAAAUGUUGUAUGACAUUCAUGAGAGCUAUAGAGAGCAGAGUAGACAGCUCCUUAUGCUUUUGAAUCGCUCUUGCACCUACUUUGGUGUCUUUUUUUGAUCGGCACACUUCAAGUUAAACGAACGAACAAAUACGUGCACAUAUGUGCAUUGCUUUGAUCAUUCCCUGUAGAUCUCAUCUUCUCACGCACUGCCCUAUGAUUGGUCGAUUAUGUACAAUACCUGCAUGUUAUUGGUAAAACUGCUUUGAAUGUUUUAGGCAUUAUUAAAAUCCUGGCCAGGACGUGUCCCAUAUAAACGGCACAUAUGGCCACCCUACUUUUUUAAGAGUUCAAGAGUACAGGUAAGAGUUGUAGACUAAAGGUAAGAGUUCAGGUAGGUCCUGUGAAAUACAGGUAAGAGCUGUAGAAUAAAGGUAAGUGUACAGGUAAGUCCUGUAGAAUACAAGUAAGAGUUAUAGACUAAAGUUAAGAUAUGUAAUGUACAGGUAAGAGUUGUAGACUAAAGUUAUAGCAGGUGAAGACUAAAGGUAAGAGUUCAGGUAGGUCAUGUGAAAUACAGGUAAGAGUUGUAUACUAAAUUUAAGAGUUGUAAAGUACAGGUAAGAGUUGUAGACUAAAGGUAAGAGUUGUAGACUAAAGUUAACAGGUGCAGACUGAAGGUAAGAGUUUUAGACUAAAGUUAACAGGUGCAGACUAAAGGUAAGAGUUCAGGUAGGUCCUGUGAAAUACAGGUAAGAGUUGAAGACUAAAGUUAAGAGUUGUAGAAUACAGGUAAGUCCUGUCGAAUAUAGGUAAGAGUUGUAGAAUACAGGUAAGUCCUGUAGAAUACAGGCAAGAGUUAUAUACUAAAGUUAAGAGUUGUAAAGUACAGGUAAGAGUUGUAGACUAAAGUUAACAGAUGGCGACUAAAGGUAAGAGUUGUAGACUUAAGUUAACAGGUGUAGACUAAAGGUAAGUGUUGUAGACUAAAGUUAACAGAUGCUGACUAAAGGUAAGUGUUGUAGACUCAAGUUAACAGGUGUAGACUAAAGGUAAGAGUUUAGGUACAGUAGGUCUUGUGAAAUACAUUUAAGAGUUGUAUACUAAAUUUAAGAGCUGUAGACUGAAGUUAAGAGUUGUAGACUAAAGCUAACGGUAAGAGCUGUACAAUAAAGGGAAGAGUACAGCUUAGUCCUGUCGAAUAUAGGUAAGAGUUAUAGAAAAAAGUUAAGACUUAUAGACUUAAGGUAAGAUUUGUAGACUAAAGGUAAGGGUUGUUGAAUACAGGUAAGAUUUGUAAAGUACAGGUAAGAGUUGUUGAAAACAGGUAAGUCCUGUAAAAUACAGGUAAGAGUUGUUCUCAAUAGCCAUUUUAGAAUUGGGCGGUUAUUUUGUUAAUUAUCAUCUAACCAUAAAUAUUAUAAAUCAAUUAGGCAGUAUUUUUAUAUUUGCCGACCAGAGGAGGAUGGGUCCCCCCUGAUGAGUCUUGGUUCCUCCCAAGGUUUCUGCCUACAUUUAAUUCUGUAGGGAGUUUUUCCUUGUCACUGUUGCCGUUGGCUUGCUCACUGGGGGUUUAAGGCGCUGUAAUACUGCCUUGAGGUUCCUGUAAUAUGGGCGUCUUUGAGGAGCCUCUGUUAAGUCCAACGCCCUCUUGAGGUCCCAUUCAUAACCAGUAAUAUUAUUGCCUAUAAUAUUAUUAUCUACAGUCAUAUUUAAUGUGUUGUGAAUGCAGUCUAAUUUGAAUGUAACUUUGUAGAAUGUAACUCUAGUUUGAAUGUAUUAUGAAGUAAUGGCAAAAAAAAAAAAAAAAAAAUAUAUUGUCUUGCAGUAGUCAGUAGUUUCCUUCUCUAGCAAAUAAGUAGGUCAGGUUAUUAAAUCAUUCAAAAAAACAAAACAAAAAAAAACUUAGGAUUUAGUAGUUUAGAACAGUCUGAUGAAUCUUUAAUCAACUAGUUAAUCACAAUUACUUAACCUUAGUAUAACAAAAUAACAUACACAGUGCGACCUAUGUCCGAUUCAAAAGCAAUCAACUACUUCAAAAACAUACAGAUCAGUGUAGCUCGAAUCACAUGCAAAUGACUCUUAUGAUUUGACUAUUUCAAUUAAUCAGUAAACACACACACACACACACACACACAAUCAGAGUUACCAGUGUAAAACAGUCUGAUGAAUCCUUCACUUAAUGAAGUUAGUUAAUCACAAUAACUUAAACUGGCUAUAAUGUAAUAACAUAUAGAGCAUGAGCAGUGUCCGAUUCACGAGCAAAUGGCUCUAAUGAUCUGGUUAUUUUAAUGACCACAUUGAGCAGCAAUGUCAGAGCCACAGCCUGAGAGCCUCAUGGUCACAGUACAGGUCCAGCUCCGCUCUACAACCAUGUCCUGGUCCACCGCAUUGCCGUAUCCAUGAUCAUAUUAUAGCAAUAAAACAAACCAUUGAAAAUAAACAAUGUAAAUAUAUUUUUUAAUAAAAAGUUAUUCUUCCACA